GCAUGGUGAUAUUUGUUAAGAAAUUCGCUGAUAGAUGGGCAUGCGUUCCAUUAGGUAGUUGGUGAGGUAACGGCUCACCAAGCCGACGAUGGAUAGGGGGAACCUGAAGAGGAGUAACCCCCCACACUGGCACUGAGAUACGGGCCAGACUCCUACGGGAGGCAGCAGUAGGGAAUAUUGGGCAAUGGAGGCAACUCUGACCCCAGCCAUGCCGCGUGCAGGAAGACGGCCCUCUGGGUUGUAAACUGCUUUUGAAUGGGAAGAACUACAAGGGAUGCGUCCUUUGCUGACGGUACCAUUAGAAUAAGCCACGGCUAACUACGUG
rnacentral:rRNA from 1 species